GACGAACGCCUUUAAAGGGCUUAACACUUUCAAGUCGAACGGUAAGGCUCCAGCUUGCUGGGGUACACGAGUGGCGAACGGGUGACUAACACGUGGGUGACCUGCCCUGCACUUCGGGAUAAGCCUGGGAAACUGGGUCUAAUACCGGAUAGGACCGCACCGUGAGGGUGUGGUGGAAAGUUUUUUCGGUGUGGGAUGGGCCCGCGGCCUAUCAGCUUGUUGGUGGGGUAAUGGCCUACCAAGGCGGCGACGGGUAGCCGGCCUGAGAGGGUGGACGGCCACAUUGGGACUGAGACACGGCCCAGACUCCUACGGGAGGCAGCAGUGGGGAAUAUUGCACAAUGGGCGGAAGCCUGAUGCAUCGACACCACGUGGGGGAUGACGGCCUUCGGGUUGUAAACUCCUUUCACCAUCGACGAAGGGGUUCUGACGCUAGAUGGAGAAGAAUCACCGGCUAACUACGUGCCAGCAGCCGCGGUGAUACGUAGGGUGCGAGCGUUGUCCCGGAAUACUGGGCGUAAAGAGCUCGUAGGUGGUUUGUCGCGUCGUCUGUGAAAUUCCGGGGCUUAACUCCGGGCGUGCAGGCGAUACGGGCAUAACUUGAGUACUGUAGGGGAGACUGGAAUUCCUGGUGUAGCGGUGAAAUGCGCAGGUAUCAGGAGGAACACCGGUGGCGAAGGCGGGUCUCUGGGCAGUAACUGACGCUGAGGAGCGAAAGCAUGGGGAGCGAACAGGAUUAGAUACCCUGGUAGUCCAUGCCGUAAACGGUGGGCGCUAGGUGUGGGUUUCCUUCCACGGGAUCCGUGCCGUAGCUAACGCAUUAAGCGCCCCGCCUGGGGAGUACGGCCGCAAGGCUAAAACUCAAAGGAAUUGACGGGGGCCCGCACAAGCGGCGGAGCAUAUGGAUUAAUUCGAUGCAACGCGAAGAACCUUACCUGGGCUUGACAUAUACAGGAUCGCGCCAGAGAUGGUGUUUCCCUUGUGGCUUGUAUACAGGUGGUGCAUGGUUGUCGUCAGCUCGUGUCGUGAGAUGUUGGGUUAAGUCCCGCAACGAGCGCAACCCUUGUCUUAUGUUGCCAGCACGUUGUGGUGGGGACUCGUAAGAAACUGCCGGGGUUAACUCGGAGGAAGGUGGGGAUGACGUCAAAUCAUCAUGCCCCUUAUGUCCAGGGCUUCACACAUGCUACAAUGGUCGGUACAGUGGGUUGCCAGUCCGUGAGGGCGAGCUAAUCCCGCAAAGCCGGUCUCAGUUCGGAUCGGGGUCUGCAACUCGACCCCGUGAAGUCGGAGUCGCUAGUAAUCGCAGAUCAGCAACGCUGCGGUGAAUACGUUCCCGGGCCU
rnacentral:rRNA from 1 species